UUUCUUCCACUCAAGAAGCUCAAGAACAACAUGUCUCAAUCCCAACACAAAAAUUAAGAUCCAUCAAAAUUCAACCGUAGGAAUUUGAAAAUGAUUUAAGAUUCGAAAUCCCCAUUGCGAGAGCUACAAGGAGCACCCAUUAAUCUUACGUAUAGAGUUUCAGAAUCAAGAGUCAUCCAAAUUCAUAAACUUGAGGUAUGCAAGUGUUGAUUCUUGGGUUCCUUCCACUCAAGAAGCUCAAGAACCUUUUUUCCUAAAUUCAAAGAUUGUGUUUUUAUUAGUUUUUAUGAUUCAUAUGGUUUGAAAUUGAAGCUCUUGAUGUUGCUGAAAUUAAAUUCAUAUGUUGAUGACAAAGACUCAAGUUUAGACCCUAGUAUGUGUUGAUCUUGUUGUGUUCAUGAUAAAGCCUUUUCAAGAAGCAUGUUGAAUUAUGUAAUUAUGUUAAUUAGUGUGAUGUUGUUAUAUACUAAUUGAUGGGAGAAAUAAUCAUAUUUACCAUUUUUGUUGAAUCAUGAUCAUAUCAUGUUGAAAUCUUUGUGUGAUGAAUUGGUUGAUGGAGUUAUGACAUUUAGAAGUAGUAAUUAUUGAAUAACUAAAGCAUGCUCCCUACAUGUUUGAUAAAAUGCUUAUAUUAUGAAAAUAUUACCAUUGUAGCAUGUUAAGUAUGAAUGUCAUGUUGAGUUCUUGAACUACAAGAUUGAGGUAGAAUUCAUGAUUAGGUUUAACUGUAAUUAUGAUUAAAGGUUGAUGGAAUAUCUAAUCCAUGAUAAAGUGUAAGAUUUAUAUGAAAUUAUUGAGUAUAUGUAUAGUAAUAUAUUAAUUCAUAUUAGAGCCUUGACAUCAUAAAUUUGAUGUUGGAGUAUUUGAAGGGAAAAUUAAUUAGUUGUGGUAUGAUUUAUGUAACUACAAGUUGGAUGAAGAAUCCAUGAGUGGAUUUAAGUAUAUUCAUGAUUAUAUUGUUGAUUGGGUUUAUAACCCAUGACUAAGUGCAUGAUUUAUGUGAAAUUCAUAAGUAUUAUGUAUGUAGUAUUAUGUGAAUUCAUAUUAGAGCCUUGAGAUGGUGAACUUGGUAUUGGAAUUGUGCUACUCAAGUAUUGAUUUGCAUUAUGAUUAAAUAUUAUGUCUUCCAAGUAUUUGAUGAAUGGUUUGUGUGAAUAAAAUAAGAAAAAUUAUAUCAUAUAAGUAUGUAUAUUAAAUUCAUGCCAUCCAAUAUGUAUUAAUUCAUGUCAUCCAAGUGUUUGAUAAAAUGCUUAAGUGAACAAAAUAGAGUCAUUAUAAUAUGUUGACAAGAAAUUUCCAAGUUAUGUAUAAGUUCAUUCCAAGUGUGGUUGAAAAUCUUUAGUAAAUGAGCUAUGGUAUGUUGUGUGAAAAUUCUAUCCAUGUGCAUUCCUUGUUGAAUGAAUUAUGAGGCAUUAGUAUGAAUCCUUACAUACCUUUAUGAUUAAGAUUUCCAAGUGUUUGAAGAAUAUUAUCCAUUCUUGAUCAUGAUUUGGGUUUAGUUUAUGACUUCCAAGUACUUGACAGAGUAUCUUAUUGAUUUUGUUGCGAGAAAUGGACUGUUGUUAUGUUAUGCAAGUAUUGAUGUACUGUAUUUAAUUAUGCUAUCGAGUCCUGGGGGUAUUUAUGAUCGAAAUUAGCCUACUUGUCUAGAGCCGAGUCAAUUUCAAGAUAAUCUCAAUCAAGCCACGAUCAGUAAGUUUCAGUUAGUUACAGAACUCAGGAAAACUCAGUAGAUUUAGAAAAGCAGUCUCAGAUAGUAUUCAGAUUAAGAAACUCAAAAUCUUAAGUAUCAAUCUAGUCCAUUUUAGAUCUCUAUAGUAUUUCAGUAUUCAGUUAUAGAAUUUAAUAAACUAAGUGAGAUAACAGAACCCAGUAGUAUUCAGCCAGUUAUCAGAUAUUCUGUAGUAUUUUGUCAGAUAACAAAAACAAGUGAACUCAGUCAAAUCAGCUCAAUAAUAUACUCAGUAACAAGAUUCAGCUCAGUGUAAUUUCAGUUAAGAAUCAGUUCAGAGUCUUUUAGCUGGGAGUAGGAUUCAGCACCGAGUGAGCUCGAGGAUGGGAGCUCACCUACUAGUAGAAGGUAUGAUUCUUAGAAGCAAUCUUUGCUCUCUAGAACUACGUAGCCAGCGCAGGUUGAGAUAUCAUACCUGAUAGUUGAGGGUAGAUGAGAUGGCUUGACCUGUUAGAUGAGAGCUCCACCAUUCUCGCUUGAGUACCUGAUAGAAGAGGGUAAUGCAAAGUUGUCUUUACCAGUGGCACGGUAUUGACACCCUUUCAACUGGGGCACAGGUUAGACCCCGACUUAGCUAAGUGGGGCAUAUCGAUUAGAUGAUAAAGACUCAAGUUUAGACCCUAGUAUAUGUUGAUCUUAUUGUGUUCAUGAUAAAGCCUUUUCAAGAAGCAUGUUGAAUUAUGUAAUUAUGUUAAUUAGUGUGAUGUUGUUAUAUACUAAUUGACGUGGGAAAUAAUCAUAGUUUCUUUUUUUUUUAAUCAUGAUCAUAUCAUGUUGAAAUCUUUGUGUGAUGAAUUGGUUGAUGGAGUUAUGACAUUUAGAAGUAGUAAUUAUUGAAUAACUAAAGCAUGCUCCCUACAUGUUUGAUAAAAUACUUAUAUUAAGAAAAUAUUACCAUUGUAGCAUGUUAAGUAUGAAUGUCAUGUUGAGUUCUUGAACUACAAGAUUGAGGUAGAAUUCAUGAUUAGGUUUAACUGUAAUUAUGAUUAAAGGUUGAUGGAAUAUCUAAUCCAUGAUAAAGUGUAAGAUUUAUAUGAAAUUAUUGAGUAUAUGUAUAGUAAUAUAUUAAUUCAUAUUAGAGCCUUGACAUCAUAAAUUUGAUGUUGGAGUAUUUGAAGGGAAAAUUAAUUAGUUGUGGUAUGAUUUAUGUAACUACAAGUUGGAUGAAGAAUCCAUGAGUGGAUUUAAGUAUAUUCAUGAUUAUAUUGUUGAUUGGGUUUAUAACCCAUGACUAAGUGCAUGAUUUAUGUAAAAUUCAUAAGUAUUAUGUAUGUAGUACUAUGUGAAUUCAUAUUAGAGCCUUGAGAUGGUGAACUUGGUGUUGGAAUUGUGUUACUCAAGUAUUAAUUUGCAUUAUGAUUAAAUAUUAUGUCUUCCAAGUAUUUGAUGAAUGGUUUGUGUGAAUAAAAUAAGAAAAAUUAUAUCAUAUAAGUAUGUAUAUUAAAUUCAUGCCAUCCAAUAUGUAUUAAUUCAUGUCAUCCAAGUGUUUGAUAAAAUGCUUAAGUGAAGAAAAUAGAGUCAUUAUAAUAUGUGACAAGAAAUUCCCCAGCUAUGUAUAAGUUCAUGCCAAGUGUGGUUGAAAAUCUCUAGUAAAUGAGUUAUGGUAAGUUGUGUGAAAAUCCUAUCCAUGUGCAUUCCUUGUUGAAUGAAUUAUGAGGCAUUAGUAUGAAUCCUUACAAACCUUUAUGAUUAAUAUUUCCAAGUGUUUGAAGAAUAUUAUGCAUUCUUGAUCAUGAUUUGGAUUUAUGACUUCCAAGUACUUGAAAGAGUAUCUUAUUGAUUUUGUUGUGAGAAAUGGACUAUUGUUAUGUUAUGCAAGUAUUGAUGUACGGUAUUUAAUUAGGCUAUCGAGUUCUGGGGGUAUUUAUACUCAAAAUUAGCCUGCUUGUCUAGAGCCGAGUUAAUUUUAAGAUAAUCUUAGUCAAGCCACGAUCAGUAAGUUUCAGUUAGUUACAGAACUUAAAAAAACUCAGUAUAUUGAGAAAAUCAGUCUCAGUAUAGUAUUCAGAUUAGGAAACUCAGAAUCUCAAGUAUCAAUCUAGUCCACUUUAGAUUUCUAUAGUAUUUUAGUAUUCAGUUAAAGAAUUCAGUAAACUCAAUGAGAUAACAGAACUCAGUUUUAUUCAAUCAGUUAUCAGAUAUUCUGUAGUAUUCAGUCAGAUAAUAGAACCAAGUGAACUCAGUCAAAUCAGCUCAGUAAUAUACCUAGUAACAAGAUUCAGCUCACUGUAAGUUCAGUUAAUAAUCAGUUUAGAGUCUUUCAGUUGGUAGUAGGAUUCAGCACUGACUGCGCUCGAGGAUGGGAACUCACCUACUAGUAGAAGGUGUGAUUCUUAGAAGCAAUUAUUGUGCUCCAGAACUAUGUAUCCAGCGUAGGUUGAGACAUCAUACCUGAUAGUUGAGGGUAGAUGAGGUAGCUUGACCUAUUACAUGAGGGCUUCACCAUUCUCGCUUAAGUACCUAAUAGAAGAGGGUAAUGCAAAGUUGUCUUUACCAGUGGCGCGAUACUGCAAAGUAUCUAGGCGGGGUAUGUCGGUUAGAUGACUAUUCACGCAGUCUCAGCUUCAGAAUCAGUCUCAGACUUCAAGAAGGAGCUCAGUUCAGUGUAUAGAAUUCAAGGAUGUUAGAAACAGUCCAUCAAGUAUGAUUAUUUGCAAAUUCAAAGAUCCGCUGAUAGAUAGGUCGAUCUCAAAAUUAGUUAUCAAGUAGUAUUAUUAUUCACAGAUUCAAAGAUAACCUGUUAGGAGGGUUUAUCUCAAAUUCAGUCAAUUAUUCUUAUUAUUAGUAGAUUCGGAGACAACCUGUUAGAUAGGGUUGCUACAAGUUUUAAAAGCUUUAGAUACUGGUAAUCUAAGUAUGUUUAGAAAUUUUAGUAUAUUCAAUAUCAGUUACCAGAGUUAGUCUGAAUAUACUCAGUGACAGUAUGCGCAGUAUGUCCCGUAAUUAUAGAUUCUUUAUGUAUGCUAAUCCAUCUCUUGCAUAUUAUUUAGUUAAGUUAUGUUCAUGCAUAAGUCCUUGUAUUUUGCCUUACCUCAUUUGCAUACUCGGUACAUUCCAACAUACUGACGCAUUUGUGUUAUGGUUCUGUAAUUUUAUUUGACACUAUAGAUUUAGAGACAUGAGUUCUAGAUCAGCAGUGGCAGUUCAGUACCCAGCAGGGAGUCCUCAUAUUCCGAGGAUGGAUUAUUAUUUCAGCACAUUAUUAUAUUUAGUUUAUCUUAUUAGACAGAGUUAGUUAGGGACAUGCCCAUCAACUCCACAGUUUAGACAGUUAGAGACUUUUUGGAUAGUUGUAUAAGUAUUCAGUUUGCAGAAUUAUGUAUUUUAGAUAUUUUGAACCUUAUGGCAAGUUUCCACCAUUUUUCUGUAUGUAUUCUAUUAUAUUAUGUAGUGAAUAGGUACAGAUAUCAGAAGAGGGUUAGCUUAAGGUCCUUUGGGAUCAUAAGCACCGUGUGACGUUCUGAUUAUAGAAAAUUAGGGCAUUACAAGAAGCUACAAGACAUUUUAAGAAUAAAUUUCCCUUCUUUAAAUAGUCAUGUUUGCUAUUGAGAAUGAUCUCAACUUAAACUCUUUUUCAAAUUCAAACUUCCUUUCAUUUACAGAACAUACGUCCCAGAUAGACUAAUGGAAGAAGAAAUGGAAACCAGCUAGUACCUUUGACCUUUUAGGAAGAUCCUGUGAAUGAGCACGUGUCGCAUGCCAAGUUCAGGGAUGAAUUCAUUACACUUGUCACUCUAUAGUAACUUAAAACAAUCAUAUAGCUUUUAUUCCAUCCAACCCAAUGGCUAAUACUACCACUGCCAGGAUUUGGGACUUCACCUGAAUGAAUCCUCUAUCAUUUUUAGGAUCCAAGUCUGACGAGGAUCUACAGGAAUUCUUUGACAUAAUUCAAAAAGUAACAGAUAUUAUGGGUGUGACUUCUAAUGAAAGUGUUUAAUUAGAUACUUACCAAUUCUAGGAUGUAUCUCUUACCUGGUUUAAGUAGUGAAAAAAGGAUAAAGGUGCCGAUAUAGGGCCUAUAGAGUGGGAGGAGUUUGAUAUAGCCUUCUUAGAUAGAUUCAUCCCUUUGGAGAUAAAGAAAGCUAAGGUGAUUGAGUUUAUUCACUUGAAAUAGGGAAACAUGAGUAUGAAAAAGUAUUCUCUUAAGUUUACUCAGCUAGUUAGGUAUACUCCUUAUGUAAUGGCUAAUAACAGGUCAAGGAUGAGAAAGUUUAUAUUAGUGGUAUCUGAUAGUGUAGUCAAGGAGUGUAGGACGACAAUAUUAAUUAAAGAUACAAACUUUUAUAGGUUGAUGGUACAUGCUCAACAGAUUGAAGAGGAGAAGGCUAAAAAGAGAGAGAGAGGGAGAUAAAAAUGGCUAGAACAGGUAGCUUUAAUUUUACUUAGCUAAGGUCAGAGGGUGGUAACCAUUCUCAAUUUCAUUCAAAAUCUUUAGUUCCAGCUCCGUCUUCACCUACUGCACCAGUGCCUAAAUUUAUGAAUGAUAAUCGGGAUAGGGCGCUAGGCACUAAGUCCCAAGACAGUAUAAACAGUGGUUGUGCAAAUCCACUCUGCCAAAAAUAAGGUAAAAACUAUUAGAAAGAAUGUAGGUCUAUAAGUGAUCUGUGUUUUGGGUGUGGAAAGCCAGGCCAUAUGAUUUGGGAGUGUCUAGUGGUGGCUCAAAAGGAUAGGGAUAUGCGCUAUUAGGGCCAGUCUCAUUUGUUAUCAGCACUAGCAGGUCGCCCGACUCAGUAGGGUGCCACCUUCAGUGCUACCAACGAUCAGUGUUCGAAUAGGCUUUAUGAAAUUCAGAACUGAUAGGAUCAGCAAAGUUCUCCUGAUUUGGUUACCAAUAUGUUACAGGUCUUUCAUUUACAUAUUUAUGCUUUGCUAGAUCCUGGAGCUUCCCUUUAUUUUGUAACGCCUUAUAUAGCUGUCAACUUUACAGUCAAUCCUAAAAUCUUAAUAGAACCUUUCUCAGUAUCUACCCUAGUGGGUAAGUCUAUCAUAGCCUGGUGGGUAUACAGGAAAUGCCCAGCUACAGUGUUUCAGAAAGUUAUAUCAGUAGACCUUGUAUUACUAGAGAUGGUGGAUUUUGACAUCAUUCUCAACACGGAUUGGCUCCACUAAUGAUAUUCUUUAGUUUAUUGUAGAAAAAAUCAUUCUAUUUCAAUUUUCUAAAUGAACCAGUCCUUGAAUGGAGGGGUAGUAAUACAACGCUUAGGGGUCAGCUUGUUUCGUACCUUAGAGUGAGGAAAACGAUAUCCAAGGGGUGUGUCUACCAUCUUGUACGAGUCAAAGACUAUAGUUCUGAAACUCCCAACCUUAAGUUGGUGUCUGUAGUAAGUGAAUUUCAUGAUGUGUUCUCUAAAGACUUUUCCGAAGUUUCUCCAAUAAGGGAAAUUGACUUUGGAAUAGACCUUCUUCCAGAUACCCAACCUAUCUCUAUUCUACUAUACCGAAUGGCUUCAUCCGAACUUAAGAAAUUGAAAGAACAGUUGAAAGGCCUCUUAGAGAAGGGAUUCAUUAGUCCUAGUGUUUCCCCAUGGGGCAUUCCAAUCCUUUUCAUGUAUAAGAAAGACGGUUUUCUCAGAAUGUGAAUUAAUUAUCGUCAGUUGAACAAAGACACCAUUAAGAAAAACUAUCCACUCCCCAGAAUUGAUGACUUAUUUGACCAACUUCAGGGUGCCAGUUACUACUCUAAGAUAGACCUCAGAUCCAUCUAUAAUCAGCUCAGAGUCAGAGAAUGUGACAUUUUGAAAAAAGCUUUCAAAACUCGAUAUGGUCACUCCAAAUUCCUUCUCAUGUCUUUUGGUAUUACCAUAGUUCCAGCAGCUUUCAUGGACUUAAUGAAUAGGGUGUUCAAGUAGUACUUGGAUAUGUUUGUCAUAGUAUUCAUUGAUGAUAUUCUUAUUUAUUCCCAUGAGAAAAAUGAUCAUGCAAACCACCUCAGAAUAGUAUUACAGACUCUUACAGCCCAUCAGAUUUUUGCCAAAUCCAAUAAGUGAAAAUUUUGGCUAAGAUCAGUAGCUUUUCUUGGCCAUAUUGUUUCCGGUGAUGGCAUAAGAGUUGACCCUCAAAUGAUUGAAGCAAUGUGAAACUGGCCCAGACCCAUUUCUCCAUCAAAUAUCAAGAUUUUCUUGGGUUUCGAUAGCUAUUAUAGAUAUUUUGUUGAAGUGUUUUCAUAUAUUGCAUCCCCCAUGUCCAGAUUGACCUAAAAGAAAAUCAAAUUUCAGUGGUCAGAUUUCUGUGAGAACAAUUUUUAGAAAUUAAACACUCAACUCUCCUCAGCCAUAGUUCUGACAUUCCUUGGUGGUUCAGAUAGGUUUUUCAUCUACUAUGAUGCUUCUAGAGUUGGUUUGGGUUACGUGUUGAUGCAUAGAGGUAAGGUCAUAGCCUACGUCUCUAGACAACUUAAUCUACAUGAAAAGAAUUAUCCUACACAUGAUCUCAAGUUAGGAGCUAUUGUUUUUGCUUUGAAAAUUUAGAGUUAUUAUCUGUGUGGGGUGCAUGUUGAUGUGUUCACGAAUCACAAAAGUUUGCAGUAUGUAUUUUUGCAGAAAGAGUUGAAUCUCCGUCAAAGAAGGUGGUUAGUGUUGUUGAAAGACUACAAUAUGAGUGUUUUGUAUUAUUAAGGCAUGACCAAUAUGGUGGAGGAUGCCCUUAGUAGAUUUCUAUGUGUAAGAUCCCACAAAAUCCUAAGCUUAAUUCAGUCCUUUAGGCUUGUCAAGUGGUCCCAGACUUAGAAUAUUUUAUCUAAGUACUCAGACUUAGUGUCAUUUUAACCUAUGAAGGUUGGAAAUCUUAUUUCGUGACCUUUACAUUCAUUAAAUAUUGAUGUUUAGGUUAAUUCAUGAUCAAGAAUGUCCGUAGGUGUUUUCGAACAAGUUUCGGAUGUUUGGGACUUCGUUUGAAGCCCCUUUGGAAACUUAAAAUAGUGGAUCAAUGUGAUCUUGGCGCACCUCAUCGACUAUCGUGUUGAUUAAUAUUUUCCCCAACUACUAGCAUCCAAUUCUACUGAAUCAAUGCGAACAUGGAGCAAUGCAUUGGCUAUCGCGUUGAUGCCAUCGAUGUGCCGCAUCAACCUGUGCAUUAGUAACCCAUUAUUUAGUAUUUUAAAAGAAUGCGUUCUUGGAGGUAUUUAGGUCCUUUUCCCUCGACCCUCAGCCCCCAAAACAUGUAAUAAAACUUCUUAUAGAGAAAAUAUAGUUAUUCAUUCUCCAAUUAGCUCAAGAACAAAAUACUAGAUGCUUAAAUUUCAAAUCAAGAACUCAAGAUUCAACCAUAAACUUUCAGAAAUUCAUCAACACAGGUAUGUGAAGUUUUCAUCCAAGGUUUCCUUCCACCCUUGGAGCCUAAGAAUCUCUUAAACCUCAAGUAAUUGAUUUUAUGAUUUCCAUGGUUGGAAUUAAAGUGUAUCCAUGAUUGUUAUUCAUGGUUAGAAUUAAAGUGUAUCCAUGAUUGCUUUUUAGAUUAAGUUCCUAAUUCAUGAUUUUAUAUAUAUAUAUCAUGUGAAAUUAAUCAUUAUAUGUGUUGAUUCAUGUGAAUCCAUGAAAAACCCUUGACUUGUGAAAUUAGAGAUGAAUUAUGAUUCUCACUUGUUGUUUAAUACUAUGUGCAUAUUCUAUGCUCACCAUGUGCUUGAUAAAGUGUCCAUGUGAGCUAUUAAGAGAAUGAAAUCCUAUCAAGUUAGCUUAUUGCAAGUUAUAUCAUGUGUUUGUUAAAAUGCCCCAAUAUAUGAAUGAUGAUUAAGUUCAUAGUUUACAUGUUUCAUGUUAUGCCGUGUCUCUUAAUUUAUGCUAUCGAGUACUGGGAGUACUUGUACCCAACAAUUUAGCUGAUUACCUAGAGCCAUGGUCAGUCAUACAACAGUAUCAAUCACGACACGAUCAGUAGUACUCAGUUAGUUAUAGAAAUCUGAAAAGCUCAGUAGAAUCCAUAUUAGUCCAGUCUAAUUCAGUAUCUAGUUCAGACCUCAGCAAACUCAGUCGGCUAAUACAAUUCAGUAGUAUUCCACCAGUUAAUGGAACAUAUAAACUUAAUUUAGUUUAGCUAAACAUCAAUCUUAGUAACCGUUCAGUCCAGCAUAGUAAAGACUAAAAAUUAGUUCAGUGUCUAUUCAGUUGGGAGUAGGAUUUACUAUCAAGUUAAUCCAUGGAUGGGGGAAUUCCUGUCAGCAGAGGGUUUGACCCUUAGUAGCAAUCUUGCGUUACAGAACUAUGUAGCUAGCAUAGGUUAAGGUAUCUUCCUGCCAGACAUUAUGAGGGUUGAUACUUCUCAUCUAAGUAAUUUUGUCAGCGAGGGUUGACGAAAGUGCUUCCUGUCAGAGACUCACAGCUUGUCCUUACUAGUGGCAUGGUAUUGACACCUUCCAACUGGAGUUACAGGUUUUACCCUAAAUCAACUAGAGAAUGGGCAUGUCCGUUAGAUGAUUACCUCCUAUAGUCUCAGUUCCAUUCUCAGUCUCACUAUAGAACUCAGUUCAGUUCUACAGAUUUAGGACUAUCAGACAUAGUCACUCAUAUCAGUGCAAAACUCAUUAUGGUUCCACAGUACUCAAAACUGUUAGAUACAAUCAUUCAGAUAAUCAGUAACACGGUAUUCAUAAACCCAAAUAUUGGUUAUCAGUAUUCUGAUUUAGUACUCAGUAUUAGCACAUUUCAGUUACAGUCUAUGUGUUCAUGUAUGUACUCUUACUCGGUCAUACUCGUGUUAUUCAGUUAUUAUUGUUCAUGCACAUAAAACCAUUCAUAUCAGCCUACCUCACUGAGCACACCAGUAUAUUCAAAGUACUGACGUAUGUUUUUCUUUGCGCUAUGAUGCCUUAUAUCAUAGAUUCAGACGUAGGGGCCCUAGAGCACCCUUAGCAGUUCAGAUUAUCACCUUUUAUAGUAGUGGUGAGUCUUCAUAGUUUGAGCACAUGCUCAUUAUUUACAGUACUUUAGUCUUAUUUUAGUAGGGUGAGUUAGUUGGGGGUUCGUACCAUCAACUCCACAGUUCAGAUAGUUUGAGACUUUUUUAGACUAGAGUAUUUUCCGAUAGUUUUUCAAUUUUUCGGUACUUACAUUCAGUUUUGGUAAUUUGAUAUUGCAUUUAGAUUUAUUUAUAGAUUUUAACAUUAUGACAUAUGUUUCUUCCUAUUUCCGCUUAAUUACAGUAUUUAUUACUCAGUUAUUAUAGCAGGCACCGGUCAUGGGUUAGCUUAUGGUCCUUCGAGAUUAUGAGCAUUGUGUAGCAUCCGGAGUACAGACUUGGGGCAUUACAAACUUGGUAUCAGAGCCUAAGGUUCAACAGAGUCCUAGGAAGUCUGAAAGCCACAUCUAGUAGAGUAUUUUUCAUGGGUGUGUUGCACGCCACACUUAUGGACAAGAGGCUACGAGAUGUUUUAGGAAAAGUUUCCCCUCUUUCAGUAUUCAUGUCCUGAGAGUGAGUAUGAGCUCCAGUUACACUCUCUUUCUAAUCCUAGUUUCUCUUUCGUUUACAAAAUAUGCAUCCAAAAAGGACUCAGGGAAUAGGAAUGGGAGAUCAGUCAGCCCCUCAGCCCGUCCAUCCAGAUCCUUUAGGUGAGCAUGUCUCCUACAUGGAGUUCAAAGUAGCCUUCACCACUCUAUCUCAUUCAGUGGAAGGCCAGAGUGAACGUCCAACUACAGUUCCAUCUAACCUAAUGGCCAAUAUUGUUGUUUCCAGGAUUCGGGACUUCAACCAAAUGAACCCUCCAUCAUUUAUCGGGUCUAAGUCUGAUAAGAACCCUCAGGAAUUUCUUGAUUAAGUGCAGAAGUUUACCAAUAUCAUGGGGGUGACUAUUAUUGGGAGUGCUGAGUUGGCUGCACAUCAGUUACAGGAUGUGGCUCACUCAUGGUUCAAACAGUAGAAGGCAGAGAGGGCCGUAGAUACAGGGUCCAUAGAAUAGGAGGAGUUUGUAGUUGCUUUUCUGAAUAGGUUCUUCCCGCUAGAGUUAAGGGAAGUAAAGGUUUUAGAGUUUAUAAAUCUGAAGUAGGGCAAUAUGACAGUGCAAGAGUAUUCUCUUAAUUUUAUUCAAUUAGCUAGAUAUGCACUGCAUGAUAUAGUAGAUAGCAGCGUGAAGAUAAGUAAGUUCGUGUAAGGAGUGCGUAGCAGCUUCGUCAAGAAGUGUAGGGCCGUAAUGCUUAUUAAGGAGAUGGACAUAUCCAGACUCAUGGUCCAUGCUUAGCAGAUAGAAGAGGCCAAGAAUAAAGAGAAAGAGAGGGAGAAUAAAAGGGAGAGAAUAGGUAGUUUCAAUUUUACCUAGCCUAAGCUAGAGGGUCGGAAUCAUUCUCAAUUCUGCCCAAAAUUCUCAGUUCCAGCUCCUUCCUCAUCCAUUGCUCCAGUGAUAAAAUUUAGAGAUGGCAACUGAGAUAGGGCAUCAGGCCCUAAACCCCAGGGCAGUGUUAGCAGUGCCGGAACUAAUCCCCUUUUCUCGAAAUAUGGAAGAAACCACUCGGGUAUCUGCAAAGCUAGCAGUGAUGUAUGUUUCAAAUAUGGUAAGCCAGGAUACAGAGUCAGACAGUGUCCUCAGGUGGGUUCGUAGAGUCAUCAUAACCGUCCCCAGCUUAGUCCGAUCGCCCGAAUUAGCAGGGUACCUCUUCCAGUGCCACCAUAUGGUAGAUCCCAAAUAGACUCUAUGCUCUUCAGUCCUGACAGUAUUAGGAAAGUUCCCCUGAUGUGGUUACUAGUACAUUACAAGUUUCCAUUUGAAUUUUUAUGCUUUUUUAGAUCCAAGAGCUUCUUUGUCUUUUGUUACUCCAUAUAUAGCAGUUGAUUUCAGAGUCAGUCCCACAAUUUUAGCAGAGCCCUUCUCAGUUUCUACCCCAGCGGGUAAAUCUAUCAUAGCUCGGUGGGUAUACAGGAAUUUUUUAGUUAUGAUAUCUCAAAAAAUCAUUUCAACAGAUUUAGUCGAAUUAGUGAUGAUUGAUUUCAAUGUCAUUCUCGACAUGGAAUAGCUUCAUUCCUAUUAUGCCUCAGUCAACUGUAUAAAUAGUGUUGUCUAGUUUUAGUUUCCAAAUGAACCUGUUCUAGAGUGUAAAGGCAAUUCUUCAGCACUUAGGGGUCAACAUAUUUCUUACCUUUAGGCUAGAAAGAUGAUAUCUAAGGGAUGCGUCUAGCAUCUCAUUCGAGUAUAGGACUCUAGUUCAAAAACUCCUACUCUUGAAUCAGUAUCAGUAGUAUGUGAAUUCCUAGAUGUAUUUCUCGAAGAUCUUCCUAGAGUUCCUCCUGAAAGGGAAAUUGAUUUCGAAAUUGAUCUUCUCCCAGAUACUCAGCCUGUCUCUAUCUCGACAUAAAGAAUGGCUUUAGAAAAACUUAGAGAAUUAAUGGAAUAGUUAAAGGAUAUCUUAGAUAAGGGAUUCAUCAAAGCCAGUGUGUCCCUGUGGGGCCCACCAGUGUUAUUUGUGUAUAAGAAAGACAGUUCUCUCAGAAUGUGCAUAGAUUACCAUCAGUUAAACAAAUUUACGGUUAAGAACAAGUAUUCAUACCCCAAAAUCAAUGGCUUGUUUUACCAACUUCAGGGAACCAUUUAUUUUUCUAAGAUAGACUUGAAAUCAGGCUAUCAUCAGCUAAGAGUCUGGGAAAGUGACAUCCCAGAAAUCAUUAGUUAUUCACCAAAUUCAGUAAGUGCAAAUUUUGGCUGAGGUUAGUAGUAUGCCUUGGUCAUAAAAUUUCCAGUGAUGGCAUUAAAGUUUAUCCCAAAAACAUUGAAAUAGUGGGAAACUGGCCCAGGCCUAUCUCUCUACCGGAUAUCAAGAGUUUUUUGGGUUUGGCUGGCUAUUAUCGAUGGUUUGGUGAAGGAUUUUCAUCUAUUGUAUCCCCUAUGUCUAGAUUGACUCAGAAGAAAGUCAAGUUCCAGUGGUUAGAUUCUUAUGAAAAGAGUUAUUAGAAGUUCAAGACUCGACUCAUUACAGCUCCAAUUUUGAUCCUACCAGAUAAUUUAGAUGGUUUUGUUGUGUACUGUGAUGCUUCUAAAGUUGGAUUGGGUUAUGUUCUGAUACAAAGAGGUAAGGUCAUAGCCUAUGCCUCUAGACAUCUUAAUCCCUAUGAGAAAAACUAUCCUACUCAUGAUCUUAAGUUAGCAGCUGUAGUUUUUGGCUUAAAGAUUUGGAGCCAUUACUUGUAUGGUAUGCACGUUGAUGUGUUCACUAAUCAUAAGAGCCUGCAGUAACUGUUCUCUUAGAAAGACCUCAACCUCCAUCAGAGAAGGUGGUUGGAAUUUUUGAAAGACUAUGACAUGAGUGUUCUGUAUCAUCCGGCCAAGGGCUAUGUAGUGGCUGACGCUCUCAGAAGAAUUUCUAUAGGUAAUGUUGCCCAUGUUGAGAACAAUAAGAAGAAUUUAGCUCAGGAAGUUCAUCAGCUAGCCCGACUAGGUCUUCUCUUAGUCGAUUUAGCAGAAGGUAGUGUGUGGGUACAGAGUAGCUCAGAAUUAUCCCUAGUUUUUGAAGUAAAGAAAAAGCAGGAUAAGGAUCCCAGUCUAGUCAAGUUGAAGGAAUCAGUUAGAAAUCAGAAGGUAGAGGUUUUUCCCCAAGAGGGAUAUGGUAUUUUGCUUUGUCACGGUUGUCUAUGUGUGACAGGUAUAGAUGGCUUAAGGCAGUGAAUUCUUGUAGAAGCGCAUGGUGCACAUUCCUCUAUACAUCCAGGGGCCACGAAGAUGUACCGCGACUUGUUGGAGUUCUAUUGGUGGAGAGUGAUGAAAAGAGACAUUAAAAAUUUUGUGGCUAAGUGCUCAAUAUAUUAGCAGUUUAAGAUUGAGCAUCAGAAGCCUACUGGGUCCAUGCAGGAGUUCAGUAUUCCUACCUGGAAAUGGGAAAAAGUGAACAUGGAUUUCAUGAUAGUCUUACCUUGUACUCAUCGUCAGCAUGAUUUAGUUUGCAUUUUUAUAGAUAGGAUGACCAAAUCAUCUCAUUUCAUUCCAGUUUAUGCCUCUUACUCAGCUGAGGAUUAUGCCAAACUCUAUAUCAGGGAGUUGGUCAGAUGGCAUGGUGUUUUAUUUUCCAUUAUCUCUGAUGGAGGUGCCUAGUUCAUCUCUUAUUUCUGAAAAGAAUUCUAAAAGGGUCUUGGUACCCGAGUUCAUCUCAUUAUAACAUUUCAUCCUUAGAUAGAUGGUCAAGAAGAAAGGACCAUUCAGACCUUGAAAGAUAUGUUGCGAGCAUGUGAUAGGCAUAAAAGAUACUUGGGAUGACAACUUGUCUUUGAUUGAGUUUGCAUAUAACAAUAGCUAUCACUCUAGUAUUUAGAUUACUUUAUUUGAGGUACUUUAUAAGAGAAGGUGCAGAUCUCCCAUUAGUUGGUUUGAAGUGGGUGAGGUUGCAGUAGUAGGGCAUGACUUGGUGUUUGAUACCUUAGAGAAGGUCCAGUUGAUCAGGGAAAGCUUAAGAUAACUUAGAGCGGACAAAAUCAUAUUUAGAUGUAUGCAGAAAGGAUCUUGAGUUCAAGAUUGGUGACUAUAUGUACAUGAAGAUCUCUCCUAUGAAAGGAGUGAAGCAUUUUGGAAAGAAAGGGAAACUCAGUCCCCGAUAUGUCGGUCCUUACCGAAUUCUCAAUAAUUUCAGAAAGGUAGCUUAUGAGCUUGAGUUACCUUCAGAUUUUUCUUUAGUUCAUCCAGUGUUUCAUGUCUCCUUGGUAAAGAAAUACAUAGGUGACCCAGCAGUCAUAGUCCCCAUUAAGAGCAUAGAUAUUCAGAACAGCCUCUGUCACGAAGAGAUCCUAAUCAAAAUCCUUUAGUAUCAGACUCGCAAACUAAGGAACAAAGAAGUUCCUCUUGUCAAAGUUCUUUGGCAGAAUCAGUCCAUUGAGGGAGAUACUUGGGAAACAGAAGUAUACAUGUGAACCAAGUAUCCUUAUCUAUUCUCCGCUAAUCCAGACUCAACUCAAGGUAAUAGUUUCCUUAAGCUUAAUCAAUUUCAUAAUCAGAUUUCAGUUAAAAAUGUGGUAGAAAUUCCCAUUGUAUGUUCAGUAUAUAGAUUCAGUUUAUCAGUAAUCCCCGUCAUGAAUUCAUAAAUCAUGUUCAGCUAUAUCCAUGCAUCCGAUAUGUAUGUUUAGUAUGAUAAUUUAGAAUACCAGUAAUAUCAGUCAUAUGGUCAUGUUCCAGAUGUUCAUGUCUAGUAAGUAAGUCAGCCUCUCAGUAUUCUCCAUCUCAAUAGUCUUAUUCGAGGAUGAAUAUUCCAAAGGGGGAUAUAAUGUAAGAUCCCACAAAUUCCUAAGCUUAAUUCAGUCCUUUAGGCUUGUCAAGGGGUCCCAGACAUAGAAUAUUUUACCUAAGUACUUAGAUUUAGAGUUAUUUUAACCUACGAAGGUUGGAAAUAUUAUUUCAUGGCAUUUACAUUCAUUAAAUGUUGAUGUUUAGGUUGAUUCAUGAUCAGGAAUGUCUGUAGGUGUUUCAAGACAAGUUUCAGAUUUUCUGAACUUCGUUUGAAGCCCCUUUGGAACCCUAAAAUAGUGGAUCAAUGCAAUCUUGGCGCACCGCGUCGACUAUCACGUUGAUUAAUAUUUUCCCCAUCUACCAGCAUCUAAUUCUAGUGACUCAACAUGAACAUGGCACGAUGUAUUGCCUAUCACAUCGAUGCCAUCGACGCAUUGCGUCGACCUGAGCGUCGGUAACCCAGUUUUCAUUCAAUUAAAAGAAUGCAUUCUUGGAGUUAUUUUAGUCUUUUUCCCUUGAUCCAUAUCCCCCAAAACACAAAAUUAAACUCCCUAUAGAGAAAAUAUAGUCAUUAAUUCUCCAAUUAGCUCAAGACCAAAACCCUAGGUGCUUAAAUUUCAAAUCAAGAACUCAAGAUUCAACCAUAAACUUUAAGAAAUUCUUCAACAUAGGUAUGUGAAGUGUUCAUCCAAGGGUUCCUUCCACCCUUGGCGUCGAAAAAUCUCUUUUAAACUUCAAGUAAUUGAUUUUAUGAUUUCCAUGGUUGGAAUUAAAGUGUACCCAUGAUUUCUAUUUGGAUUAAGUUCCUAAUUCAUGAUUUUAUAUAUAUAUAUAUAUAUAUCAUGUGAAAUUGUUCACUAUAUGUGUAGAUUGAUUUGAAUCUAUGACAAACUCGUGACUUGUGAAAUUAGAGAUGAAUUAUGAUGCACACUUGUUGUUCAAUACUAUGUGCAUAUUCUAUGCUCACCAAGUGGUUGAUAAAGUGUCCAUGUGAACUAUUAAGAGAAUGAAAUCUUGUCAAGUUAUCUUAUUUGCAAGUUAUAUCAUGUAAGUGUUUGUUAAAACGCCCUAAUGUAUGAAUGAUGAUCAAGUUCAUAGUUUACAUGUUUCAUGUUAUGGCAUGUCUCUUAAUUUAUGCUACAGAGUCCUAGGGGUACUUGUACCCGACAAUUUAGCUGAUUACCUAGAGUCAUGUUCAGUCCUAGAGUAGUAUCAAUCAUGACACAAUUAGUAGUACUCUCAGUCAGUUACAAAACUCAGGUAAACUUAGUAGAAUCCAUAUUAGUCCAGUCUAAUUCAGUAACUAGUUUAGAUCUCAGUAAACUCAUUCAGCUAACAUAAUUCAGUAGUAUUCUAUCAGUUAACAGAACACAGUGAACUCAGUUUAAUUCAACUAACCAACAACCUUAGUAACCGUUCAGUACAGACUUGAAAUCAGUUCAAUGUCUAUUCAGUUGAGAGUAGAAUUCAAAAUCGAGUUAACCCAAGGAUGGGGGCAUUCCUAUUAGCAGAGGGUUUGAACCUUAGUAGCAAUCCAUGCAUUACAGAACUACAUAAUCAGCAUAGGUUGACGUAUCUUUCUACCAGAAAUUAUGAGGGUUGAUACUUCUCAUUUGAGUUAUCUUGUCAGCGAAAGUUGACGAAAGAGCUUCCUGUCAAAUAGGGUUAACUCAUAACUUGUCCUUACCUAUGGCAUGGUAUUGACACCUUUCAAACUUGGGUUACACUUUGGACUCCAAAUCAACUAGAGAAGGUGUGUGUCAAUUAGAUAAUUACCUCCCACAGUCUCAGUUCUAGUCUUAGUCUCAGUAUAGAACUCAGUUUAGUUCUAAAGAUUCAGGACUAUCAGACAUGGUCACUCAGCUCAGUGCGGAACUUAGUAUGGUUACACGGUACUUAGAAAUUUCAAAUAUUGUAAUUUAGAUAAUCAUUAAUACACUAUUUGUAAACCCAUGUAUCGGUCAUCAGUAUUUCGAUUCAGUACUCAGUAUUAGCAUGAUCUCAAUUAUAGUCUAUGUGUUCAUGCAUGUACUCUUACUUAGUUAUACUCAUGUUAUUUAGUUAUUAUUUUUCAUGCAUAUGAACCCAUGCAUAUCAGCCUACCUCACUGAGCAUACCAGUACAUUCAAAGUACUGAUGUGUGCUUAUGUCUUAUAUCAUAUGUUCAAAUGCACGGGCCCUAUGGCACCCUUAGAAAUUUAGAUUCUCAACUUUCAUAGUAGAGGUAAGUCCUUAUAAUUUGAGGACAUGCUUAUUAUUUACAGUACUUCAAUCUUAUUUUAGUAGGAAUAGUUAGUUUGGGGAUUGUCCCAUCAACUUCAUAGUUCAGAUAGUUAGAGGGUUUUUCAGACUAGAGUAUUUUCAGAAAGUUGUUCAAUUUUUUAGUACUUAUAUUCAGUUUUGGUAUUUUGAUACCGCAUUUAGAUUUAUUUAUCUAUUUGAACCUUAUGGAAUAUGGCUCUGCCUAUUUCUGCAUAAUCACGGUAUUUAUUACUCAGUUAUUGCAGCAGGUAUCAAUCAUGGGUUAGCAUAUGGUCCUUCGAGAUUAUGAACACCAUAUAGUAUCCGAGAUACAGACUCGGGGCGUUACACUAUGGGUAGUGUGACAUAUUCUGAGGAUGAUAAGAAAAGGUUGGUUCAGGAGGUUCAUCAGCUUGCUAGAUUACGUGUUCGGUUGGUUAAUUCAGAUGAGGGUAGUGUUUGGGUUCAGAAUAGUUCGUAAUCUUUUUUGGUGGUCGAAGUAAAAAUAAAAGAAAGAUAGGUAUCCAGUCUAGUUAAGUUGAAGGAGUUAGUCAGAGAUCUGAAAGUGGAGGUUUUCUCCCAAGGGGGAGAUGGUGUAUUACAUUGUUAGGGGAGACUGUGUGUGCCAUAUGUUGAUGGUUUGAGAUAGAUACAUUAUUUCACUCACCCAGGAGCUACUAAGAUGUACCGUGACUUACGGGAAAUCUAUUGGUGAAGUGGUUUGAAAAGAGAUAUUACAAAGUUUGUAGCUAAGUGCUUUAAUUGCCAUUAGGUUACGAUUGAGCAUCAAAAGCCUAGUGGCACUAUGAAGGAGUUCAUCAUUCCCACUUGGAAGUGGGAAGAGGUAAACAUGGACUUUGUGAUGGGUUUACCCUGUACUCGUCCUCAACAUAAUUCUUUUUGGGUCAUUAUGGACAGGAUAACUAAAUCAACCUAAUUCUUGCUAGUCCAUACUUCUAUUUCAGUCGAGGACUAUGGAAAGCUCUACAUUAGAGAGUGAUUUAGUUUGCAUAGAGUUUCAUUAUCCUUUAUUUAUGAUAGAGGUACUCAGUUUACCUCUCAUUUUUGGAAGGCUUUUUAGAAGGGUUUUGGUAUCCAAGUUUCCCUUACUACAGCAUUUCACCCUUAGAUAGAUAGUUAGGGAGAGAGUAGUAUUCAGACCCUAGAGGAUAUGUUGAGAUCAUGUGUUAUCGAUUUUAAGGGUAGUUUGAAUAAUCACUUUCUAUUAAUUGUGUCCUCCCACAAUAACAACUAUCAUUCUAGUAUCCAUAUAGAUCCAUUUGAGGCUCUAUAGGAAAGGAGAUUUAGAUCUCUAAUUGGUUGCUUUGAGGUAGGUAAGACUGAUUUGCAUAGGGCCUAAUUUAGUAUAUGAUGCAUUAGAGAAAGUUCAGUUGAUUAGAAAGAGGCUUAAGACAGCCCAAAGCUGGCAAAAAUCUUAUGCAGAUGUAAGGAGAAAAGAUCUCGAAUGUGAGAUUAUUAAAUUUUUAUAUGUGAGAAUCUCUCCCAUUAAGGGAGUGAAUAUGUUAGACAAAAAGGGGAAGCUCAGUCCUCGGUAUAUUCGCCCUUAUAGGAUCUUUAACCGCUUUGGAAAAUUAAAUUAUGAGCUUGAUUUGUUUGUAGAUUUGGCUUCUGUACACCCUAUGUUCCAUGUUUCUUUACUGAAGAAGUGUAUUGGGGACCCAGCUAUUGUAGUUCCCUUAGAAAGCGUAGAUGUUCAGGAAAAUAUCUCUUAUGAGGAGUUUUUGGUGGAAAUCCUCAAGCGUCAAACUCGUAGACUAAGGAACAAAGAAGUUUCUCUAGUUAAAGUUCUUUGAAAAAAUCAGUCCGUUAAGGGAGCCACUUGGUAAUCAAAAGCAGAUAUGCGAACUAAGUACCCUCAUUUUUUCUCUAUGAACUCAGGCACAACAUAAGGUAAAAGUUUUUGUUUGAUUAUCUCUAUUCCAUUUUCAUUUCCAACUAUGUAAUCAGUCUCAUGUCAUUUCAUGCAUUCAUGAAUUAGUUCAGUCAUGUAAUCAUGUUUCAGUUAUGCAUGUUCAGUAUGUAAUAUUAGUCCCUCAGUAUUCUUAGUUUAAUUAAUCUCAUUUGAGGAUGAAUUUUCCUAAGGGGAUAUAUUGUAAUACCCCAUACUUUUAUAAGUUCAGUUUAACUCAUACUACUUGUAUUAGAGGCUCAGCACCUAAAGAUUUAGCUAAGUGUUAGGGACUUAGUUUAGAUUUUGGCUACAUAACCUUGAUGAUUUUUAAAGUAACCAUCCCGACCCCGAGACGUAGGUUUUGAGUUAUUAAUGUUUAGGUGUGUAAGUAGCAUGUCUCGGGUAAGUUUUGGAUUUUUUGGAUAAAGUUUGGACCACGUUUGGAUUUCCAAAAUAGUAGCUCACCGCAAUUAGACCACGUCGCAGCGAGUAUAGAGAUGGAGGGGUCACCGUGUUGCGGUGAAGAUCAAAUUGACAAUUUUCAGAUUCCAGCAAGUCAUGUGAUUUCACGGCAUCAUGGUGGAAAUCAAAAAAAUAGCACUGGCGUAUCGCGGUGAUGGUAAUAUUCGGGUUGCAGUUAUGAAUUUUAAUCUCCCAAGGGCAGUUUGGUCCUUUUCCAUGGCCCCAAUCUAUGAAAAACAUGAGAUUAAAGCAUAUUUGGUCAUCUUUUACUCAAACUCUCUCAAUUGAAAACCAUUCUCUAUGAGGAACAAACCCUGGCCCUUCAAAGAUUCAAGCUCUAGUUCAAGAAAACCACCAAUAACCUUCAAGAAUUAUUCAAUUAAGGUAUGUUAGAUGUUCAUUCAUGGAUUCCUUUCACCCAUGGAGUCCAAGAACCCAGUUUCAAGUUUAAAGGAAUGAAUUUUUCAUGCUAUCAUGAAUUUUAUCCAUGAAUUCCAUGAAUUUCAAUUUUGGCAUUUUGUUUAUGCAUAAAUUGUCAUUGAAGUUAAACUCUACACAUUAGAAUGAUGCUUUCCCGUCUGUUUGAACCUUAAAUUGUGAUUUCGUAUCAAAAUCAUGAUAUUACUAUGUUUUUAAGACUAUCCCCAUGUUUAAACCAUGGAUUGCAAGUAUUUGAUAAAAUACCCAAAGGAAUGAGUUCUGAAUAAUGACUAUUUAUCAUUUCCAUCAGGUUUUAGUACGGUCUUGUUGUUAUUGCUAUCUAUUAUUGGGGGUUUUGAAUACCCAAAAUUUAGCAUCUUACCUAGUCUUCAGUAUCUACAGAAUGGUUCAGGAUAGCUAUGAGAAUUGUCAGUUUAGUUAAUCACCAUAAAUAGAUAAACUUAGUUUAUACCAAUAUUCAAUGUCUUUCAGUUGGGAGUAGGAUUUAGCACUGAGUGAAUGUAGGGAUGACGACUUCCCUAUCAGUUAGGAAGAGUCAUUAGUAGUAGUUCCUGUAUUCCAAAACUACUCAGUCAGCGUAGGAUAUAAGGAGUCACCCGUUAGUUUAGGCUUGAUUACCUCUCAAAGGUCACUGGUCAGUUUAGGAUUGACACCUUGUUCAAUCGGGACAUCAGUUAGUGGAUCCACACAGACAGUAUUAGUACUUGUGGCAUGGUACUGACACCCUUCAAACUGGGGUUACAGGUUGGACCCUAAUAGUAUAUUGGGUUAUGUCAGUUAUAGUUAGCUCUCACAAUCUCAGUUCAAUAUUCAAUACAUAGUACAGUUUCAGAUUUGCUUGACCACAGAAUAUAGUUAUUGGUUAUUCAGUAUUAGUAUUUCAUUAAUUCAGUUUAUAGCUUAUUUUAGUAUUAUGUUAUAUGCUUGGUCAUGCAUCCUCAGAUUUUACAGUUUUCACGUACACUAUUGUAUCAGUCACCUCAUCUUAUUCAUUCAUUCAUGUAUUAUUCAUGUUCAUGAACCCAUGCAUAUUAGCCUAACCUUAUUUAGCAUAUCAGUACAUUUAAAGUACUGAUCACAUACUCAUUUGUUGUGCUAUGAUGUCUCAUAAUAUAGGUUCAGAUGCUUAGGUUCCCGACUGCACUUAGAUAUUCCAAUGCAUCAGUAGUGGCUGCAGUGGUUAGUUCUCAUAUUCUGAGGACUAAUGAUGUUUAUGUUAAUAUUUUUUUCAGUUCAACAGUCAGCUGUAGUUAGUUGGGGACUUAUCCCAUCAACUCUACAGUUAGUCAAUUUAGAGGCUUUCUGACUAGCACAGACUGAUAGUCAGUUUUCUGUCGUUAUUAUCAGUUGUUUUUACCAGUAUUGAUAGUAUGUUUCUGAUGUUCUAAAACCAUGAUCCAUUAUUGAUUUUCAGUUGUUAAAACCUUAUCACAUUUUUCAGUUAAGUUCCACACAUGUUCUUGUUAAUUUAUUCAGUGCUCACAGCAGGUACCUAUUCAUGGGUUAGCUUGUCGUCCUUCAGGGUUGUAAGCACUGUGUGGCAUUCAGGGUGUACUCUCGGGGCAUUACAAUUUACAGCUUUCAACUUGUAAUAGCGGAGAAGAAUUCCAAAAUUUCCACAACUCAAAAAAAGUCUCCACCGCUUUCAUAUUUCCCAACUCCCUCUAUAAUCUCUGUACAUUUCCCUAAUCAAUAAAAAGUUUAUUGUAAGUAUAAAUUUCUCUCUUUCUCUAUUGUUUUAAUUUAUUUUUCUUUACUUUUAUUUGUUCUUAUUUUGUUAUUUUAAUGCUUAAUUUGAAAGUUUAAAAUGCUUUCAAAGAUUAAAUUAAAUUAAACUUUAAAACAACAAAAUAAGAACAAAAUAAAUGUAAAGAAAAAUUAAUUUAAAUAGUUGAAAAAGAGAGAAAUUUAUACUUACAAAUUUUUUAUAUUGAUUUAGGAAAUAUACAAAGAUUAUAGAGGGGGUGGGAAAUAUGGAAGUGGUGUAGAGUUGUUCUGAGCUGUAGAAAUUUUGGAAUGUUUGUCCGCUAUUACAAGUUGAAAGCCUUAAAUAGGCCUCAAGAGUGCAGAUUAAUAUCUAACAAACACUCUUGUUUUUACAUUUGUUCAUACACUAAUAUAUGUUAUUUCUUUUACACUUGUCUAGUAGUUUGUAUAUCUACUCCAUAAAUGACUUUGAACAACAUGCUUUUUCUGAGAUGUCUCUUUUGAAUAUUUUGAAAAGAUUUUUGGCCUUUUCCUUUUAUUAACUUUUGUGCCAAAUGUAUUUGUCUUAUUGUGCUAUAAAGAUUUAUGCUUUUGCUAUUUUUUGUGCCCUUGUCCUUUUGUUACAUGAAGGUUUGUGUUGUUUUAUCCGGUAGUUUCAUGAUUUUUUGGGUACAUUAUGUGGGUCCACCUUAUUUUAUGUAUUAUCUUUUUAACUAUAGAAAAAGUGUUGGCUCUUCUUUAUCUUUAUUGAAGAGAUAUACUGAUGAUUCUCCAUGUCCCUAUUGCUGGCGCAGUAUCUAUUAACUUCAUUAUCUGCUUUGAAAGGUGGGAUUCUUUCUGCGAGGGAGAACCUGAUGUAGAUUCUUUCUCCAAAUGCAAAAUGCUCUUCUGGAUCCUUGUACUAUGUCCGUUUUGUAAGUUGGACACUUCUACUUACAUGUUUUUUAUCUGGACUCCUGAACCCAUUAAAAACCUAUAUUUUAAACCCUUUAACCAUUGACUUUGCCUAUGUUGCAUUAAAUGACUGAUUGGGACAAGAAAAGUGUAAUCACUGGCCUUGGGGUGCGAGUGGGGUCAAGUUUUGGCCAAUUUUUAUAUUAAAAUAACUAAAAAAGGGAAUAAAAUGUUUUUUCAAUUUUUUAAUUUAAAAAUAUUUUAAAAAAUUAAAAAAUAAUAAAUUUAAAUAUAAAAAAGAAAAAAAGCCCCCCCCCCCCCCAACCCCCUUUCCCCCUCCCGCCCACCCCCCCCCCCCACCCACCCGUAGUAAGAGAAAAUAGAAAGAAAGAAAAAAUAAGAGACCAACACUAUCAUUAAACACCAUGAAUGCAACAAAAUUAUCACCGUAACCCAUCAUCACUACCUUCAUUUCCAACCCUAUUUUCAACCUCACUAAACAACCCAAUAGAAAAUCUUCAUUACCCCAACAAAACUAACAACAACGACCCAAGAUUAGCUCCGACGGAAAACAAGAUUCGGGCGAUUCACAAACAGGUUGGGUCUCGUACUUUCAGUAAAUACUAUUAUUUUAUGAAAGAUAUGAUUUCAUUUAUAUCAUUUUGGAAUCAGAUUUCAAUUUCCAUUGCAUUCCAAUCAUCACUGUCUAAUUACCUCUUCAAAAACCAUAAUUUUGGAUCAUAAAAAAUCAUCAUCCUUAAAUCACUACAAAUUUGAAAAAGAAGGAUCACAUAUUCUUAUCCAACUCAACAUUUUCUAAUAAAAAAGAAGAAGAAGAAAUAGAGAAUUAAGAAGAAAGGAAGGAAAAAGGGAAGAGAGAAAGGAAUAAGAGAAGGGGAGAAUUAAGAAGAAAGAAAGAACAAACGGGUAGAGAGAGAAAUAAAAGAAGGGUGGGGUUGGAGUUUUUUAAUUUAUUUAUUUAUUAAUUAAUUAAUUUUAAUAUUUAAUAUUUUUUAUAAUUAAAAAUGACGUGGAAGAUGAUAUGGCAGAUGACAUAGCAGCUGACGUGGGCGAGUGUAUUACACUCAUCGAAAAAGUAUUUAAAAUAUUACUUUUUAAUGGAUUCAAGGGUCCAGACGACAAACAUGUAAGUGGAAGUGUCCAACUUACAAAAUGGACAUAGUACAAGCGUCUAGAAGAGCAUUUUGCCUAUUAGAAAACUAGAGAGUUUAUUUAUCUAAAAGAUACUGGUAGAUUUAAUGGAAUCUUAUAAUAUGUGUUAAUAUUGAUAGCUUCAAAAAGGUUUUUUUAACCCUGGUAUUUAAAGUUUUUAGUGCCAUAAUUUGACAAAUUUAUUAUUCUAAAUUAAUUUUUGUAAAAAAUAUUUUUUGGUAGAAAUAUUUUUAUUGAUAAGAACUUAUUUAAAUAGUAGUAACUAGUGAUGGAUACUUUUGUAGAGAUGGAAAUUGUACCAAUAUUGAAUAUAUUUUAAUAUUUAGGUUGAAAUGGAGGUGUCAACGAUUUUAUUUUUAUUAGUUCGGGCUCGCAGUAUUUCCCUGUAGAAAUUCUCUAGUCAAGAAAUCUGGGAGAGAAUUAUUUUCUCCCUUUAUAAAUUCUAUUUGAAAAGCAAAACUAUAUAAUAAAGCUUGCCAUCUUGCAAAUAUUUGCUUAGAAAUUAAAUUUUUAACAUCCUUUUGUAAAACAUCUUUGGCUUCUUUGCAAUCCACUCUUAGUAAAAAAUAUUUGUUUAUUAAAUCAUCUUGAAAUUUAGUAAUACAUAGCACUAUAGCAAAAAUUUCUUUGUUAAUAGUACUAUGUUUUUUUUUAGUAUCAUUUCAGAUUCACGACAUGAACCUUACUAAUUGUUCAAUAUAGUCUAUGGAAAUCCUUUGUUUAAGGAUUCCUCCAUAUACUAUGUCUGAGGCAUCGGUUUCUUAAAUUAUAAGAGCCUCUGGAUGCGGUAUCCCUAGACAUGAAAGUUUUUGAACUAUUGAUUUAAUUAAUAUAGUCUUGGAAAUCCUUUGUUUAAGGAUUCCUCCAUAUACUAUGUCUGAGGCAUCGGUUUCUUAAAUUAUAAGAGCCUCUGGAUGCGGUAUCCCUAGAUAUGAAAGUUUUUGAACUAUUGAUUUAAUUAUUUUAACUGCAUUAGUAUGCUCUAUUCCCCAAGGUACUGAAUUUUUUUAAGACGCUAAUAAAGUGACGCAACAUAGUUGAGACUUUCUAAGAAUCUUUGAAACUAGAUUUUAUCAGUUAAUUCAUCUGGAAACUUAGAGGAGAAUUUUAUGGCUCUACAGAUAGGUUUAUAGGUUUCUUGAUAUAAAUCAUAACCAAAAAAUCUAAUAGAGGUUUGGAAUAAUUUAAUCUUCUUAGCACUGACAACUAGUCCAUUUUGUUUGACAAUUUUGAAAAAGAUUUGGACAUGUUUAAAGUGUUGAUCAAUAUCCUCAGAAAAUACCAAAACAUCAUCUAUAUAAACUACAGAUAUAUGACUAUAUUGAUUGAAUAUAUUAUUUAUAAUAUUCUAAAAUUUAGGUGGAGCAUUUUUUAGUCCAAAAGGCAUUACAUUCCAUUCAUAUUGUGAAAAAAGUAACAUUGAAGGAUAUUUUAUAUUUAUCUUUUUCUGCAAUUUGUAUUUACCAAAAUCCUAAUUUCAUAUCAAACUUACCAUAAAUAUUAGUUUUAUAAGUCCUUUUAAGAAGGUCACGCUUGUUAGGUAUUGGGUACCUAAUUCAUUUUAAUGCUUUAUUAAGAGGCUUAUAAUUGAUAACAAGUCUCGGGGCAUCUCUUUUUUUUUCAGCACUAUUAUUGACAUAAAAGCCUGAACAACUACAAGGCGAUUUAGAAGUUCACAUAAUUUUUUUAUCUAAUAAAUUGUUAAUUUCAUUUUUACAGUACUUCAUUAAUUCAUGGUUCAUUUGAAUGGGUCUUGCUUAUUUUGAAAUUAUUCUUUCGUCAAAUCCCUCAAUAUAGGGUAAUUCAACAAUAUGCCUUUUUCUUUCCCAAAAGACAUUAGGAAAAUUCUAGCAAACCUCUCGCUUUAUUACUUCUUGUAGAUUUUUAAUCUUUGCUUCUACUUUCAUGAUUUUUAAAUAGGAUUCAAUUUUUUUUAUUUUUAUUUCGUUCUUUUUAAAAUUUCUCUGUUGCAAAAUUAAAUUCAUUUUAAAGACCGUUUUAUUUUUUAUAAGGUCACUUUCUUCUUUUGGUAAACUAUUUAGAUAAGAAAAAAUAAUCUUUUUCCCCAAAAUAGUGGUGUGGAUGCCAUCUAAUUUGGCAGUAUAAGGUUUUAUUUGAUUUAUAAAAGGUAGACCUAAAAUUAUUUCUUCAUUUAUAUUUUUUGUUAUUACAAAGUCAUUUAUGAAACAAAUUUCAUCAUUGUAGAUGUGUGCAUUGUGUAGUUUAUAAUUUAUUUUUAAUCUUUUGCCUAUUGUAGAGAAUAAUUUUGUAGUACCCUUUUCAAGGUUAU
rnacentral:lncRNA from 1 species